GAGAGAGAGAGAGAAGGAGAGGCCUCGGAAAGGCUUCAACGGGCCCGGGACCCGGUUAUAUAAGAGGCUGACGGCAGGUAGUAUCAACAGUUGGACAGAACCAACAGUGGAAACAACAACCCACAUCUCGUGCAAUACCAAAUUAUCAUUCAAACAAUUUGUCAACAUGUUCCGCCCGAUGUUAUUCUUCACUUUAAUGCUGACUGUCACCCUGGUGACUUGCCGACCUGACAAGCUGGAUGCUGAUCUCAAAGCAGCGAUGGAAGCCAAAGCUGCAAUGGAAGCUAAAGCGGCCAUGGAAGCCAAAGCGGCCAUGGGUAAAAGCGUCGAAGUGUCCGGCAAAGGAGGCAGCGAUAUCAACGACGGUGGAAGAUUAUUGUCGCUACCGGAAGCUGACGCUUGCGCACAAAGACCGAAACAAUGGGAACGCAAUGGACAUUGGUACUUUUUGAGCACGAACGUCAGCGCUUAUAAGGAUAUCAAGAGCGAUUGGUUGGAUGCCCGUAAUCUGUGCCGUAAACACUGCAUGGACGCCAUCAGCAUCGAAACGGUCGAAGAGAACGACAUGGUGCUCGACAUACUGGAGAAACAGAAACUACCCUACAUUUGGACGAGCGGACGUUUGUGCAACUUCAAAGGGCUGUGAUCGUGAAGAUUUGCAACCCGUCUUGAUCAACGGAUGGUUCUGGUCGGGUUCCGGCGUCAAAUUGGCCAAGACCAACGAAACUCCCGCCGGUUGGGGUUAUCAGCCAUGGAGCGCUACUGGCCAUUUUAAGAGACCGCAACCCGACAACGCUGAAUUCGAAAUCAACGAGACCAAGGAAUCUUGCCUGGGCGUGCUCAAUAACGUCUACAAGGACGGCAUCAAAUGGCACGACAUUGGAUGCUAUCACACCAAGGCCGUCAUCUGCGAAGAUUCGCCUCCUCUUCUCCAGUACAUUGCUGCCACCAACCCUAACAUCAAAUUGUAAAAGACUCAGAACAAGCACCGAAUUUUUUAAUAAAAAACAACAACAAAUGUCAGAGGAUUCGCAGUUUGUUUCCAGUUAGACUAAAUCAACAAUUUCCUGGAACAAACCAAAAAUAAAAACAAAAACUCGUCACAACGCAAAAAAAAACAAACAAAAAACAUGUUGAUGUUAUUCAAUGCUCUCCAUCAAGCGUACUAUUAUUUAACCUACUAAAACUACCUUGCGUAUUCGUACAAUCAAAAACACACCCACGCACAAUGUUUUCGUAUUUUUCAAUACAUUCGUUCACUCAAA